ACUACAUGUACAGGAUAGGUGGGAGGCUUUGAAACCAGGACGCCAGUUUUGGCGGAGCCAUCCUUGGGAUACCACCCUUGUAGUACUGGGACUCUAACCAUAGGCCAUGAAUCUGGUCUUGGGACACUGUCAGGUGGGCAGUUUGACUGGGGCGGUCGCCUCCCACAAGGUAACGGAGGCGCUCAAAGGUUCUCUCAGUACGGUCGGAAAUCGUACGUAGAGUGUAAAGGCAAAAGAGAGCUUGAUUGCAAGACAUACAGGUCGAGCAAGGAUGAAAAUCGGACUUAGUGAUCCGGUGGUUCUGCGUGGAAGGGCCAUCGCUCAACGGAUAAAAG
rnacentral:rRNA from 1 species